rnacentral:tRNA from 1 species
GGGUGUAUAGCUCAGUUGGUAGAGCAUUGGGCUUUUAACCUAAUGGUCAACGGUUCAAGUUUUGCUAUACCCA